AGGGUUUGAUUAUGGCUCAGGACGAACGCUGGCGGCGUGCUUAACACAUGCAAGUCGAACGAGACGAAUUAGAAGCUUGCUUUUGACGAGUCGAGUGGCAAACGGGUGAGUAACGCGUAGACAACCUGCCGCAAAGAUGGGGACAACAGUCCGAAAGGACUGCUAAUACCGAAUGUUGUGUCACAUUCGCAUGAAUGAGACAUUAAAGAUGGCCUCUACUUGUAAGCUAUCGCUUUGCGAUGGGUCUGCGUCUGAUUAGCUAGUUGGUGGGGCAACGGCCUACCAAGGCGACGAUCAGUAGCCGGUCUGAGAGGAUGAACGGCCACAUUGGAACUGAGACACGGUCCAG
rnacentral:rRNA from 1 species